AGUAGAGAUGGAAAAGUAGAGUUUUAUUUAAUGAGUACAGACUUUCAGUUUUGCAAGAUGAAAAGAGUUCUGGAGAUAGAUGGUGGUGAUGG